rnacentral:rRNA from 1 species
AUUGAACGCUGGCGGCAUGCCUUACACAUGCAAGUCGAACGGCAGCACGGGAGCAAUCCUGGUGGCGAGUGGCGAACGGGUGAGUAAUAUAUCGGAACGUGCCCAGUCGUGGGGGAUAACGUAGCGAAAGCUACGCUAAUACCGCAUACGAUCUAUGGAUGAAAGCGGGGGAUCGCAAGACCUCGCGCGAUUGGAGCGGCCGAUAUCAGAUUAGGUAGUUGGUGAGGUAAAGGGCUCACCAAGCCGACGAUCUGUAGCUGGUCUGAGAGGACGACCAGCCACACUGGGACUGAGACACGGCCCCAGACUCCUACGGGAGGCAGCAGUGGGGAAUUUUUGGGACAAUGGGCGCAAGCCUGAUCCAGCAAUGCCCGCGUGCAGGAUGAAGGCCUUCGGGUUGUAACUGCUUUGUAC